UGUAGGGAUGGGUAGUAGAAUACGUUUCCCUACCGCAGCCAGAAGCGUGACGUAAGAGGCGUCUAACUGUGCAAACCAGUUCCUAAGUUCAGAAAAGGGACUAUUCUAGUUUAGAAGUCCUUUUCCAUUUCUCUCUUAACUUUUGUUGUAAUUUAGCUUAUCUCGCCGCAUGAUAACUCUAAAAAUUCCUAAUUUAUUCGUUCAAGUAAAAUGUAGUUAUUAAAAUUAUAAAAUUAGAUGGCCGAUCGGUUUAGUAUAAAUUUAGCAUAAGUAUAUUUCCCGGAUUUGACUUUUACCUCCCCUCAUUGGAUCCCUGAGGAAGGACUCGGACUUUACUCUCACCACUUCCUCAGCGAAGUUGGUCAUUUAAAAGGCUACACUAUUUAGUGCUAGUUCAUUUCCUUCCAUUGUGUAAGGAAAGCUGGUGGUGGUGUGCCAGUCACAAUUGGUUUAUUUGAGUUGUCUCAGUACACUCAUCACAUUUUAUUUCAUUUCCUUCCAUUGUGUAAGGAAAGCUGGUGGUGGUGUGCCAGUCACAAUUGGUUUAUUUGAGUUGUCUCAGUACACUCAUUACAUUUUAUUUCAUUUCCUUCCAUUGUGUAAGGAAAGCUGGUGGUGGUGUGCCAGUCACAAUUGGUUUAUUUGAGUUGUCUCAGUACACUCAUCACAUUUUAUUUCAUUUCCUUCCAUUGUGUAAGGAAAGCUGGUGGUGGUGUGCCAGUCACAAUUGGUUUAUUUGAGUUGUCUCAGUACACUCAUUACAUUUUAUUUCAUUUCCUUCCAUUGUGUAAGGAAAGCUGGUGGUGGUGUGCCAGUCACAAUUGGUUUAUUUGAGUUGUCACAGUACACUCAUUCCAUUUCCUUUCUUUUUCGAUAGUCAGUGGUGACAGUACCUAACUGCACUCUAAAUUCCCUUUUAUUUCCAAAUUAGUCAGCGGCGAUGGUGCCUAGCUGCACUACCCCCUUUGUUAGUUAAUAACAAAUUCUUCUUUAACUGUAGGUUAAUUUGGCAUGUAAAGUGAAACUAGUCAGCGGCGUGGGUGCCUAACUGUACUAAUUAUCUCCUCGUUUUGUAUUACCUUAAGUCUCUAAUUAAAUUAAAAUAGUUCAGCACGUCAGCUUAGCAUAAGACAGUGGCAGAGGUGCCUAACUGUAUUAUAAUUCCCUUAACUUAGUAUACUAUAAAUUUUGUUUCUUCAUAAAUAAUAAAAUUUAGUGGUAACCUCGUUUUCGCAUGUUAGUAAUUCCAGACAGUGGCUUUGGGGCUCAACUGUCUCUAAUUGUUAGUUAACUUAAUGCAUUGCAUCUGCACGAGUAGAGUAUAAUUGAUUGGUUAGUUUUCAUUUUACAUCCCUUAAAUUUAAGUUUGUUUAAUUUCAAUUCUCCUAAAAUCAAUGUAGAAGCGGAAUUGAACUGUUGAUAGGUGGUGCUGAGGCCCGUCGUUUCUCACUCUUUCCCUCUUGUACCGUAGAACCAUUAAUAAUAGCAAGUUUUAAAGUUAGUCACAGGAUUUUCAACUUUAGUUUUUCUAUGUCCUAUAAUUACAAUAAUUACUCUUAUAAGUUUACUCUAGUAUUCCGCCCAAAGUAUUCCUUGAUAAACUCUAAGCUCUGCAGUUCAGUUCUAGUCUAGCGGUUAUUUUUGAGUUAGCUUUUGUUUUCUUCCAUAAAAAAUAGUUCCUAUUUUUUAUUUUUCACAGAAAGGGGGUAAUGUAACGUGUCAAUAAGUCACGUCACAUACUAAACACAUAUUUAAUAAAGUUCUCCAUGAGUUAGCCUACAUUUGUUUAGAUUUAUUUCCAAAUUAGAAAAUAUUCCCAAUUCCUGUUUUAUUUACAACCAUUCGCUUGUCACUUUGACGUUUGACAGCGAACUAUUUGAGUUUCGUUGUCUUUGACAGAUUCGGUAACUUUCAUUCCAAUGCCUUUAAAAUUGUCUCAAACGUUUUCAUAUUUGAUAAAUUCUUCUUUUCGUUUAAAUUUCGCAAGUGGUAGUUUUGUUUUAGGAAAAAUAGAUCCGACAAUAUUUGAUAAUAUAUUUAAUAAUAUAUUCGUCAAAAAUUGUUCAAAAUUUAUUACAAUUUUAGCAUUUUGGUUAGCAAAAAUCAUUCUUAUUUCGGAUCUGGUAACAUUUCUUCUUAUCGAUGGUUCGAUGUGAAUUCCGUCUUGUCAUUUUACUGUCAGCUUUCUCAUUGGAAAACAGAUAAAAUUUUGAUCCGAGAAAAUCAUUGUAAAUUUCCAUUAUUUUGGUGAAAUACCGGCAGUGCUUUGUUCCGGAGGUUUGCUCCGUCCCUCAGGAAUGGAUUAGGGGCGAAAAUAAUGCCGCCACGGCAAACCCCGGCAACCUAAUGAAGGGCUAACGUAAGUUUUUCCUCAAUUUCCACAAUCGUCUUUCGGAAAAUGCGAUUCCUUUUAAAUUUUCCGGUUCGACUUUAGCUGACUCGCGCCAUUUUUCUUUUCCAGAUAAGGGGCGUGUUAGCCCUUAUAACCCUUAUAAUCCUUUUAA